GCUCAUCAUCAGAAAUCUGAAAUAUUCCACUUUAAUUAACAUUAAUUAUGAUUCUGUAAACAACAAAAAAGUGUGAUCCUUUGAAAUGGGAUUGGUAAAAAAUCCGCACGUGUAGUGUGUGAAGAAGGUGAGGUUGUCUAUUCAUAGUGUAAUAAGUAGCUAAUUAUAGUUGAUCCUACAAAAUCAAAAUUAAUUCAGGUAUCUAUAUAUUCUGAAGACUGGACAGACCUUAGAAGCUUCUUCAAAUUUGCAAGAACAUGUCGUGGUCCUAAACUCUUUACAGCGAUGAAAUUCAAAAGUUGCUCUAUAUCCUGCAAUCACAGUAAAGAUUAUGCAAUCGUCUCAGAACGAAUAACAAGAAGCAAAAGGCGAUCAAAAUACCGUGAUCUCGAUAAUGUUCUUUGCCGAAAAGGAACAUUAACUUAACCUUAAAACAGUAGUGAAGGCUCACCCGAUUUGCUUAGCAACCUUACAUACACAUGUAAAAAAAGCUUUGCUUUUGGACUGAAAGGUGUGACUAUCAUCACAGUCUUUCCUAAUUAGCUGAUUGUAAUACCCAAUUUGCCCAGCCCACAAUAAAAAACCAAAUAAAUAAAAAUUAAUUAAAACUCAAAUAGUUCACAGCCCAAUAACAAUAAAAACCAAACCCAUUUACAGUGACCCGGUACAAACCCAAAGUCAGAUGCAUCUAGUCCAACUACACCCAGCCCAAAUACCUAGCCCAAUACAACUAUCAACACAACCCUAGCCCAAAACAAAAAAAAAUCAGAAAACCCUAGCUGCAACAGCCCUCCUUCCGGCGCCGCAGCCACCAGGGCCUUCCCCGCGUGUGCUGUGCCACAUCCACCACCUCCUUACGCCAGCUAGCCUCCUUACCUGCAAAGAAGACGAAAACAACGCAGCAGAGAGAAUUUUUUGUAUUUUCUUUCAUUUUAUUUCGAAUAUUCGGCUAUAAAGAGGGAGAAGGCCAUUGUAAUCCUUUUUUACGCAUAUUGAAUACAAACAAAAAAUCAAAACAGAAAGUUUUUUCGAAAGGUGAUUUUCUUCGUUUUUUUUCUCUUUUAUUUCUUUGAUUCUUUGUUUUCUUCUUUGGCACCAAACGAAAAUAAAAAGAGGGAGAGAAGAAGCGUCUUACCAGAGCAGACGCCAUUGGAACCUGGUUUGCUCCGUCUGAAUCGGAGUCAGAUUGGGUUCGUGACUGGAGACCGGUGGGAAGAAAGGCUAGGCUCUUGAUCUGUUUUAGGAAUGCAAAACAACUUAUUAGGGUUUUAUUUUUUUAGUUUUUUAACGAUAAU
rnacentral:lncRNA from 1 species